CAGGAAUGCUUUUGGUCUCAAGAGUGAAAGAUAUGCCCUCCCUUGUUGAAGAGGGAAAUGUUUCAUAUAAGGACGAAAUUGGAGAUCGAUGAUUCCGACAGUAAAAAUAAUAACGUCAUGUGUAUUCGUGCGUGGAUAAUUUGGGCUAACCUUUCCCUUAAACCCCAAACACUUUCCCAAAUACAGCUAAGCACAAACAAUUCCAGUAAGACUCAGAGAGGGCGGAGAAAGCAAGCAGCGCCAGAGACUGCCUUAAACCUAGCAAUCCAUCUGGUUCCACAAAUGCAGCAAAGCGGAUCUUUACAACAGUGGAAGGGCUGGAAGGCACUCGUUUCCAGCCUAAAGAGCAAACACCGGGCUCUGAAAAGCAAGAGAGCCUAGAAAGGACUUCGCUGACUUCGCUGUUACGUUUCUUCACUUCUAGCUAGGGGAGCAGAGGGGAAGGCUGGAAGUGGGGGAGGGAGAGAUCCGAGGGCCCACGCCUGUAGUUGGGGCCAGGGCGAGGGGACGUCUCUCCUGCUCUCCCCUCUCUCGAUCGGGGGCAAAAAAAAAAAAAAAAAACUUGCAACAAGUGGGAGCCGGCGAGGUCGGGUGCCGCGGUGGCAAGCUGAGGUGGAGCUGCGGAGACGCCCAGACCCAGGAGCAAAAAAGCCGGGGGGGGCGUUACUACUUCACCUAGGCUGACUUGAGUGCACCAUGGAUGGAAGUUGGUUGGUAGCUGAUGGAGACAGCUGCUCUUCUCCACAAGAGCUGCCUCCCCAGAUGAUGACUUUUGUUGGCUGCGGCUAUUAUUUACGAUGAAGAAAAUGGGUCUCUUCUCCAGAAUGAUUUCUUCCCUCAAAGGACGUUAUAGGAGUUGGGCUGGAAGCAGACCUGUUUUGUGAGAAACUGAUAUUCCUAAGGCUCUUGGAUUCAGAAUUCCAGACCUUUCCCAUUAGGAUAUGAGUGAAGGUGGUGGUCAAGGUAAUCGAUAAUAGUAGUUUGAUAUUUUCUACCAUCAGUCUUUCAGGGGGCCAUAAUGGUUCAGUCAGGUUCUAUCCUGAGGAUAGCAAUUAAUUAACAGCUGGUGAGCAAAGCUGGCCCUUUCCCACAGGAUGAUGGUCUAAAUUCUAGGAUGAUAGCAUUAGCAUUCUAAAAGAACCCUUUUAAUGAUCCUUUCCUUCCUUUAGAAUGUAAACAGCUCAUCCUUAUUAAGUCCUUUCUGGUUAAUCAUUUAUUUUUAUAUUUCCUAUUUUUCUCUUUACUUUUAUUUGUAUUUUAAAAUUUUCUUUUCAGUUCUGGUUUUUCAUCAGUAAUCUUUUAAAGUCCUCUGUUUCACUGAAGAUCCAUUUUUCUCCUUAUAAUAUUGUAUUCAGUUUUGUUAGGAAAGUUAUUCUAGUUGCAAAAUCUUUUCUUUUGCGUCUAAAAAUAUCUCACUUCAAGUUCUUUGCUCCUUAGUGAUAUCUGCUAAAUCUUAAGUGAUUUUGACUGUAAUUCCCCAAAUUUAAAUACUUUCUGGUUGAUAUUAAGGAAAAUGUUUCCUUCACCUUGCCCAGUAUCUGGCACACAGUAGUGUGUACCAAUACUUUGAGAAAUGCUAAAUCUGUGAAUGAAUAACCUAAUACAAAACUUAGAAUUCUAACAAUACCUGAAUUGUUUCUGGAGAUAUGACUUUUAUUUCUAUCUCUAACUUCUACACAUCUGUUAUUUCUCCUUGGAAGAAUCAUCUUUCUAUGUAUUCUUGAUAUUUUCCAUCAACAAAAUGGAAAUAAAUUAUAUUUAUUCCUCAUUAAAA